rnacentral:rRNA from 1 species
GACAGAGGCCUCGAGCGUUAGGCGGAAUCACUGGGCUUAAAGCGUGUGUAGGCGGGCCCGUAAGUGUCUUGUGAAAUCCCACGGCUCAACCGUGGAACUGCUGGGCAUACUGCGGGUCUUGGGCCAACUAGGGGCAGCCGGAACAAGCGGUGGAGCGGUGAAAUGCGUAGAUAUCGCUUGGAACGCCGAAGGUGAAAACAGGCUGCUGGGGGUGUGCUGACGCUGAGACACGAAAGCCAGGGGAGCAAACGGG